AUGGCAGGAAGUUUCCAGAGAUGGAUUCGUGCUCGAAAGAGAACCUGCACACAGGUGCUGCAUGGCUGUCGUCAGCUCGUGUCGUGAGAUGUUGGGUUAAGUCCCGCAACGAGCGCAACCCUUGUCAUUAGUUGCUACAUUCAGUUGAGCACUCUAAUGAGACUGCCGGUGACAAACCGGAGGAAGGUGGGGAUGACGUUACGGUCUUACU
rnacentral:misc_RNA from 1 species